rnacentral:rRNA from 1 species
UACGUAGGAUGCAAGCGUUGUCCGGAAUUAUUGGGCGUAAAGGGCGCGUAGGCGGUGCGGUAAGUCACUUGUGAAAUCUCUGGGCUCAACUCAGAGUCUGCAAGCGAAACUGCCGUGCUUGAGUGUCGGAGAGGUAAGUGGAAUUCCCGGUGUAGCGGUGAAAUGCGUAGAUAUCUGGAGGAACACCGGUGGCGAAGGCGACAUCCUGGACCGGUAUUGACGCUGAGGCGCGAAAGCCAGGGGAGCAAAGCGGG